AGACCCGAAACCCGGUGAUCUAGCCAUGGGCAGGUUGAAGGUUGGGUAACACUAACUGGAGGACCGAACCGACUAAUGUUGAAAAAUUAGCGGAUGACCUGUGGCUGGGGGUGAAAGGCCAAUCAAACCGGGAGAUAGCUGGUUCUCCCCGAAAGCUAUUUAGGUAGCGCCUCGUGAACUCAUCUCCGGGGGUAGAGCACUGUUUCGGCUAGGGGGCCAUCCCGGCUUACCAACCCGAUGCAAACUGCGAAUACCGGAGAAUGUUAUCACGGGAGACACACGGCGGGUGCUAACGUCCGUCGUGAAGAGGGAAACAACCCAGACCGCCAGCUAAGGUCCCAAAGUCAUGGUUAAGUGGGAAACGAUGUGGGAAGGCCCAGACAGCCAGGAUGUUGGCUUAGAAGCAGCCAUCAUUUAAAGAAAGCGUAAUAGCUCACUGGUCGAGUCGGCCUGCGCGGAAGAUGUAACGGGGCUAAACCAUGCACCGAAGCUGCGGCAGCGACACUUUAGUGUUGUUGGGUAGGGGAGCGUUCUGUAAGCCGUUGAAGGUGUCCUGUGAGGGGUGCUGGAGGUAUCAGAAGUGCGAAUGCUGACAUAAGUAACGAUAAAGCGGGUGAAAAGCCCGCUCGCCGGAAGACCAAGGGUUCCUGUCCAACGUUAAUCGGGGCAGGGUGAGUCGACCCCUAAGGCGAGGCCGAAAGGCGUAGUCGAUGGGAAACGGGUUAAUAUUCCCGUACUUGGUGUUACUGCGAAGGGGGGACGGAGAAGGCUAUGUUGGCCGGGCGACGGUAGUCCCGGUUUAAGCGUGUAGGUGUGUGUUCCAGGCAAAUCCGGUUCACUUUAACACUGAGGCGUGAUGACGAGGCACCACGGUGCUGAAGCAACAAAUGCCCUGCUUCCAGGAAAAGCCUCUAAGCAUCAGGUAACAUCAAAUCGUACCCCAAACCGACACAGGUGGUCAGGUAGAGAAUACCAAGGCGCUUGAGAGAACUCGGGUGAAGGAACUAGGCAAAAUGGUGCCGUAACUUCGGGAGAAGGCACGCUGACACGUAGGUGAAGUGAUUUACUCACGGAGCUGAAGUCAGUCGAAGAUACCAGCUGGCUGCAACUGUUUAUUAAAAACACAGCACUGUGCAAACACGAAAGUGGACGUAUACGGUGUGACGCCUGCCCGGUGCCGGAAGGUUAAUUGAUGGGGUCAGCGCAAGCGAAGCUCCUGAUCGAAGCCCCGGUAAACGGCGGCCGUAACUAUAACGGUCCUAAGGUAGCGAAAUUCCUUGUCGGGUAAGUUCCGACCUGCACGAAUGGCGUAAUGAUGGCCAGGCUGUCUCCACCCGAGACUCAGUGAAAUUGAACUCGCUGUGAAGAUGCAGUGUACCCGCGGCAAGACGGAAAGACCCCGUGAACCUUUACUAUAGCUUGACACUGAACAUUGAGCCUUGAUGUGUAGGAUAGGUGGGAGGCUUUGAAGCGUGGACGCCAGUCUGCGUGGAGCCGACCUUGAAAUACCACCCUUUAAUGUUUGAUGUUCUAACGUGGACCCGUAAUCCGGGUUGCGGACAGUGUCUGGUGGGUAGUUUGACUGGGGCGGUCUCCUCCUAAAGAGUAACGGAGGAGCACGAAGGUUGGCUAAUCCUGGUCGGACAUCAGGAGGUUAGUGCAAUGGCAUAAGCCAGCUUGACUGCGAGCGUGACGGCGCGAGCAGGUGCGAAAGCAGGUCAUAGUGAUCCGGUGGUUCUGAAUGGAAGGGCCAUCGCUCAACGGAUAAAAGGUACUCCGGGGAUAACAGGCUGAUACCGCCCAAGAGUUCAUAUCGACGGCGGUGUUUGGCACCUCGAUGUCGGCUCAUCACAUCCUGGGGCUGAAGUAGGUCCCAAGGGUAUGGCUGUUCGCCAUUUAAAGUGGUACGCGAGCUGGGUUUAGAACGUCGUGAGACAGUUCGGUCCCUAUCUGCCGUGGG
rnacentral:rRNA from 1 species